rnacentral:lncRNA from 2 species
CGGCAACGGGAUCUUCAACUCCGACGGGGAGACGUGGGUGGCGCAGCGGAAGACUCUGGCCGGGCGUGCACCGCUGAUUCUCUCCCACCGGCCGCCGCGCGCCGCUCCCUCCCACCGGUUCCGCGCGCCGCCGCUCCUCUCCCGCCCUCCCGCCGGUCGCCGACCCUCGGGCACCGCCGCUCCUCUCCCUCCUUCCUGCCGGCCGACGCACGUCGCCGCUCCUCUCCCAUCGGCCGGCCCGACGAGCUCACCUCCUUCCUCGCGGAGCUCCCGUCGGCCGCCCUCUCCGCCGGCGCGGCGCUUGCGUCGGUCGCCCUGUCCGCUGCACGCACACCGGAUGCAAUAGAGGAGAGGGCGUCCAGCACGUCGACCAGCAUCAAGGCGCGCAAGCUCGAGCUCGCAGCCGAAAGCGGCAAGGGCGACGCGUCGUCGCCGGCGGCGGCGUCCAUGCCGUUGUGCUGCUCCGCUGCUAGCAGCUAG